rnacentral:rRNA from 1 species
UACGGGAGGCAGCAGUGGGGAAUAUUGCACAAUGGGCGAAAGCCUGAUGCAGCUAUGCCGCGUGUAUGAAGAAGGCCUUAGGGUUGUAAAGUACUUUCAUCGGGGAGGAAAAACAAAACUAAUAAUUUUAUUUCUUGACGUUACCCGAAAAAGAAGCGCCGGCUAACUCCGUGCCAGCAGCCGCGGUAAUACGGAGGGUGCUAGCGUUAAUCAGAAUUACUGGGCGUAAAGAGCACGUAGGUGGUUUUUUUAAAGUCAGAUGUGAAAUCCCUGGGCUUAACCUAGGAACUGCAUUUUGAAACUGAAAUACUAGAGUAUCGUAGAGGGAGGUAGAAUUCUAGGUGUAGCGGUGAAAUGCGUAGAUAUCUGGAGGAAUACCUGUGGCGAAAGCGGCCUCCUAAACGAAUACUGACACUGAGGUGCGAAAGCGUGGGGAGCAAACAGGGAUUAGAUACC